GGACUACAAGGGUUUCUAAUCCUUUUUGCUCCCCACGCUUUCGUGCCUCAAUGUCAGAAACAGAAUAGUUAACUGCCUUCGCCUUUAUUGGUGUUCUUCCAUAUAUCGUCACAUUUUACCGCUCCACAUGGAGUUCCGUUAACCUCUCCUGCUCUCUAGUCUGAUAGUAUUAAUAGUUUCCACGAGGUUGGGCCUCGAUUUCCCACCACUAACUUUCCAGACCAUCUACGCACCCUUUACGCCCAAUAAUUCCGGAUAACGUUCGCCACCUACGUCUUACCGCGGCUGCUGGCAC
rnacentral:rRNA from 1 species